rnacentral:misc_RNA from 1 species
GAUGAAGAACGCAGCGAAAUGCGAUAAGUAAUGUGAAUUGCAGAAUUCAGUGAAUCAUCGAAUCUUUGAACGCACAUUGCGCCCGCCGGUAUUCCGGCGGGCAUGCCUGUUCGAGCGUCAUUUCAACCCUCAAGCCCCGGCUUGGUGUUGGGGCGCCCGCUGUGGCCGGCCCUAAAGACAGUGGCGGCGCCGCCUGGCCCUCAGCGUAGUACAUCUCUCGCUCCAGGGUCCGGUGGCCGCCUGCCAGAACCCCCCAACUCUGUGGUUGACCUCGGAUCAGGUAGGUAUACCCGCUGAACUUAAGCAUAUCAAUAAGCGGAGGA